AUCGAACGCUGGCGGCGUGCCUAACACAUGCAAGUCGAACGUGAAAGGGAGCAAUCCCCCGUAAAUUGGCGUACGGGUGAGUAACACGUAGGUAAUCUACCCCAGAAUCUGGAAUAACCGGCCGAAAGGCUGGCGAAUACUGGAUAGAGCGACGGAAUCCGUAAUUGGGUUUUUCGGGAAAGGGAGCCUGUAAAAAGGCCUUCGUUCUGGGAUGAGCCUGCGUCCCAUCAGCUAGUUGGUGAGGGAAAAGCUUACCAAGGCAAUGACGGGUAGAUGGUCUGAGAGGAAGAUCCGCCAAACUGGGACUGAAACACGGUCCCGACUCCUACGGGAAGGAGCAGUGGGGAAUUUUGCGACAUGGACGAAAGUCUUACGCAGCAACGCCGGGUGGGUGAAGGAGGGUCUUGGGUUGUAAAGCUCUGUCGAGUGGGAAGAAAUUGCUUGGAGUUAACAGCUCCAGGAACUGACGGUACCAAUAAAGGAAGCACCGGCUAACUCCGUG
rnacentral:rRNA from 1 species